CCUACGGGGUGCUGCAGUGGGGAAUAUUGGACAAUGGGCGAAAGCCUGAUCCAGCCAUGCCGCGUGUGUGAAGAAGGCCUUCGGGUUGUAAAGCACUUUCAGUGGGGAAGAAAGCCUUGGGGCUAAUACCCUCGAGGAAGGACAUCACCCACAGAAGAAGCACCGGCUAACUCCGUGCCAGCAGCCGCGGUAAUACGGAGGGUGCGAGCGUUAAUCGGAAUUACUGGGCGUAAAGCGCGCGUAGGCGGUCUGAUAAGCCGGUUGUGAAAGCCCCGGGCUCAACCUGGGAACGGCAUCCGGAACUGUCAGGCUAGAGGGCAGGAGAGGAAGGUAGAAUUCCCGGUGUAGCGGUGAAAUGCGUAGAGAUCGGGAGGAAUACCAGUGGCGAAGGCGGCCUUCUGGACUGACACUGACGCUGAGGUGCGAAAGCGUGGGUAGCAAACAGGAUUAGAUACCCGUGUAGUC
rnacentral:rRNA from 1 species